rnacentral:rRNA from 1 species
CACGAGAAGCGCAGAUGUUAGCCGUUUUGAUUGGGUGUAAGGGGUAUGUAGGUGGCUGAUGAUAUUUUAGAUCGAAAACGCAGGGUUGUUCCUUUGCGCGGGGUCCUUUAAGGAUUCAGCUUGUGUUGAAGACGGGUUGGGGCAAUUUGGCAUGUAGCUCGGAGUAGAAUCCUAACAUAUGCGAAGGAACGCCGAGUGGCGAAGGCACCUUUCUAGUUUCAUCAGACGCUAAGGUACGGAAGCUUAGGUAUCAAACAGG